GACGAACGCUGGCGGCGUGCUUAACACAUGCAAGUCGAACGAUGAACCCGGAGCUUGCUCUGGGGGAUUAGUGGCGAACGGGUGAGUAACACGUGAGUAACCUGCCCUGGACUCUGGGAUAAGCGUUGGAAACGACGUCUAAUACCGGAUAGGACCUUGGAUCGCAUGAUCUGGGGUGGAAAGUUUUUUCGGUCUGGGAUGGACUCGCGGCCUAUCAGCUUGUUGGUGAGGUAAUGGCUCACCAAGGCGUCGACGGGUAGCCGGCCUGAGAGGGUGACCGGACACACUGGGACUGAGACACGGCCCAGACUCCUACGGGAGGCAGCAGUGGGGAAUAUUGCACAAUGGGCGAAAGCCUGAUGCAGCAACGCCGCGUGCGGGAUGACGGCCGUCGGGUUGUAAACCGCUUUUAGUAGGGAAGAAGGGCUUCGGCUUGACGGUACCUGCAGAAAAAGGACCGGCUAACUACGUG
rnacentral:rRNA from 1 species